rnacentral:rRNA from 1 species
GAUGAACGCUGGCGGUAUGCUUAACACAUGCAAGUCGAACGGACUCUUCGGAGUUAGUGGCGGACGGGUGAGUAACGCGUGAGAAUCUGGCUUUGGGUUCGGGACAACCACUGGAAACGGUGGCUAAUACCGGAUGUGCCGAGAGGUAAAAGAGAAAUUGCCUGAAGAUGAGCUCGCGUCUGAUUAGCUAGUUGGUGAGGUAAAGGCUCACCAAGGCAGCGAUCAGUAGCUGGUCUGAGAGGAUGACCAGCCACACUGGGACUGAGACACGGCCCAGACUCCUACGGGAGGCAGCAGUGGGGAAUUUUCCGCAAUGGGCGAAAGCCUGACGGAGCAAUACCGCGUGAGGGAAGAAGGCUCUUGGGUUGUAAACCUCUUUUCUUAGGGAAGAACAAAAUGACGGUACCUAAGGUAUCAGCAUCGGCUAACUCCGUG